GACGAACGCUGGCGGCGUGCUUAACACAUGCAAGUCGAACGGAAAGACCCCCUUGUGUGGUACCCGAGUGGCGAACGGGUGAGUAACACGUGAGUAACCUACCCUGGACUUUGGGAUAACUUCAGGAAACUGGGGCUAAUACCGUAUAGGAUCUCCUUCUGCAUGGUGGGGGUUGGAAAGUUUCGGCGGUUGGGGAUGGACUGGCGGCUGAUCAGCUUGUUGGUCGGGUAGUGGUUCACCACGGCCUAGACGGAUAGCCGGCAUGAGAGGGGGGCCGGCGCCAUGGGGACUGCGAUAGGGCGCAGACUCCUACGGGAGGCAACGGUGGGGAGUAUGACACAGUGGGCGGAAGUGUGAUAAGGAAGCGCCGGGUGCGUGAUGAGGGCCUUCGAGUAGUAAACCGCUUUCGGCUGUGACGGAGCGUUAGUGACGGUAAUUGCUAAAGAAGCACCGGCUAACUACGUG
rnacentral:rRNA from 1 species